rnacentral:sRNA from 1 species
GUAAAAACCAAAGAAGAAUGCACCGCCCAGCGUGAUCCAAAGAACUCUGGGCACAAAUCCAGCAAACAGACUGAAAAAUAAUAAACAUCAAAAUGGUUUCUUUUGUUCUCAGAGAGGGGCAAGACCAUGCUUAAGAAAUGUAGAACUACAUAAGUUAAGUAAUAUAAUGAUAUAUGUUUUGUUAAUUAGCUUAUACAUAUUGUGAAAACUUUGCAAUUAAAGUUGAAUAUUUACCCGCUUA